rnacentral:rRNA from 1 species
UACGUAGGUGGCGAGCGUUGUCCGGAUUUACUGGGUGUAAAGGGCGUGUAGGCGGGAUAGCAAGUCAGAUGUGAAAUACCAAGGCUUAACUUUGGGGCUGCAUUUGAAACUGUUAUUCUUGAGUGUCGGAGAGGGAAGCGGAAUUCCUAGUGUAGCGGUGAAAUGCGUAGAUAUUAGGAGGAACACCAGUGGCGAAGGCGGCUUUCUGGACGAUAACUGACGCUGAGGCGCGAAAGCGUGGGGAGCAAAC